AUGCUUCUCACCCUGCUGUGCUGUGCAGUCCUGUUGGGCUCUGUUCCUGCUCCCCAUGGUAAUAGGUCAUUGUGUCACACCUGGGUAGCUGUGACAUCAUUCCUGCUGUGGUUCCAUCAUGAAGGGCAGUUGCUAUUAAGACAGCUCUCCUCCAUCCCUACUGUGAUGAUGCAGGCAGGGCAGCCUCUUUGCUGUCUUUAUUGCCAGCACUGUUUAGGGUGUGAUGACAGACAGGCAGGCAGCUCCCAAGGAAAAAGAAGAAUUCUCAAUCCAACAGAGAAAACUAAUAUUUCAGACUCCACCAGUACUUCCACUUGUAAUUCAAGGACAAGGGAGAUGUGCAAGGUUAUGAAGAAGAAGUGGACCAGAAAUCUGGGCAGUGAUCUGAAUCCUGAAUGCCAGCCUUGGUUGAGGUCCCUAAUAUACCACUGUGUCCUCAUGGAGCCAGGAGCUGGACUUGAUGAUCCUCAUGGGUCCCUUCCAAGUUGGAAUAUUUUAUGGUCAUCUGAGUAGAAACUGGGACUGAAAAUCUGCCUGGCUUCUCCGCUGAGUGGCCACCACUGCCUUGUAAGGUAUUUGAAUGUGUGCCUUCAACCUGGAGAUAAAUUCCCUCCAGGUGUAUGAAUCAGAGAGUGCUCUUGAAAAUGGACGAGUGGGAUUUGUCCAGGUGAAGGAAUAUUGAAAUGGCAGCAGAUGGAAAAUUCUCCUCCCCCUUCUAUAUCUGAUGUCACAAACAAGGGGAAAAAUCAAACUGCCUCGUUAGGAUGUAUCCCCGCUAAGGACAUUUGUUGGAGAGGCGUUUCCUUGAUAAGGACUUUCCCUGGGAAGAAACAGUCUGCCUCUUGUAACAUGCCCUGAAACGUUGCUCCCAGAAACCAGAUGUUGUCAGAACUGUGUGAGAACAUGAGACAUUUUACUAUCAAAAUAUUUUGGCUUUGGAAGUUGGCAAAUCUUCCCACCUCACUAUGGGAAGCUGCAGGGAAAUAGAGCAACUGCACCCUGCCUCGGGGUCCCAUAGCACAUGAUCCCUUUUUUUUCCCUUUCUGCAGCCCACCCAAGCCUGGAUGUGCUUGCAUCUGAUAUUUUGCUAGCUUUUAAAUGAGAGUCUUCUUCAUUUCUUAUUAGAGGGAGACAGUGAUUAAAAGAUUGUGGGGGUUUUUUUUUUCUUUUUAAAUAUAGCCAGGUGCUUUCCUCUGAGUCUUGUUACUGACUCUCCCUGUGGCUUUGGGAUGCCUAGCCUUGUUCCAGUAAGCUCUGGAUCCUGCAAGCCCAAGAAGCUGAGAUGUCAGCUCUGUCCUGACAGCCCCCAACUCCACUCUGCCCCAUCCUCUCCACACCCACUGCGGCCACUUCCAGUUUCUGGCCCUGCAGAGUGCACACAGUCAGGCAGGUCAGGCUGCCCGUGGCAGAGUGCAUGAGAACUUUCCUCCAUCUAGAAACAUCUUUUUAAUGGAAUAAAUGUGGCUUCUUGCAGUGAGUAUCUAAACUA
rnacentral:lncRNA from 1 species